rnacentral:rRNA from 1 species
UACAGAGGUCUCAAGCGUUGUUCGGAUUCAUUGGGCGUAAAGGGUGUGUAGGUGGCGCGCUAAGUCGGGUGUGAAAUUUCGGAGCUUAACUCCGAGCUUGCAGUCGAUACGGGCAGGCUAGAGUUCGGUAGGGGAGACUGGAAUUCCUGGUGUAGCGGUGAAAUGCGCAGAUAUCAGGAGGAACACCGGUGGCGAAGGCGGGUCUCUGGGCCGAUACUGACGCUGAGGAGCGAAAGCGUGGGGAGCGAACAGG